rnacentral:rRNA from 1 species
GAUGAACGCUGGCGGCGUGCCUAAUAGAUGCAAGUCGAGCGAACGGACGAGAAGCUUGCUUCUCUGAUGUUAGCGGCGGACGGGUGAGUAACACGUGGAUAGCCUACCUAUAAGACUGGGAUAACUCCGGGAAACCGGAGCUAAUACCGGAUAAUAUUUUGAACCGCAUGGUUCAAAAGUGAAAGACGGUCUUGCUGUCACUUAUAGAUGGAUCCGCGCUGCAUUAGCUAGUUGGUAAGGUAACGGCUUACCAAGGCAACGAUGCAUAGCCGACCUGAGAGGGUGAUCGGCCACACUGGAACUGAGACACGGUCCAGACUCCUACGGGAGGCAGCAGUAGGGAAUCUUCCGCAAAGGGCGAAAGCCUGACGGAGCAACGCCGCGUGAGUGAUGAAGGUCUUCGGAUCGUAAAACUCUGUUAUUAGGGAAGAACAUAUGUGUAAGUAACUGUGCACAUCUUGACGGUACCUAAUCAGAAAGCCACGGCUAACUACGUG